ensembl:snRNA U6 U6 spliceosomal RNA
CAAAUGCUGUAACAAAAUUGGAAUAACAUGGAGAAGAUUAGCAUGGUUCUAGUGUAAAGAUGAAAUGUGAAUUUGUGAAAUGCUCUAUUUUUUU